CCAAAUCUGAAAGAAAACAAACAAAAAAACAUUUUAUGUCACGGGGGGGGGGGGCGGAGACUGAACAAACCGUUCUAACUAAAACCUCUACAAAGCCCUGAUCCAGUCCCAGACCCGUCAGACUGACCCCAGUGUUUAGUUCCCAGUUUCUUCCAGUGGUGCUUCGUGAUUCAUGUUGCAUGGCUGGAAUGAGCCAGGUUCCCAGCUGGCGGGUCUUUGGGAAUCACCUGGUUACUGCUGAAAUCCUGUUUUCUAUCAGUCUGGCCUCUG